GCCCUGAAGCGGGGGUGCCGGCGCAAGCGCGCAGGCUGAGAGAGUCCCUUCGAACCUGAUCCGGUUUGUACCGGCGUAGGAAGCUUCGUCCACGGGAAA
rnacentral:ncRNA from 1 species